UCCCUGGUGGCUCAGAUGGUAAAGCAUCUGCCUACAAUACGGGAGACCCAGGUUCGAUCCCUGGGUUGGGAA
rfam:TPA: Bos taurus chromosome 15, whole genome shotgun sequence.